rnacentral:rRNA from 1 species
AUGACUUUCAUCGACCCCGACGCCCCAUUGCAAUAUUUGGCAAUGCUCUGUCACACACAUUGUUUCAUUGUCUGUCACCACUUCUUAAUUUUGUUUUGUCCAGCAACCAAAACGGAUCCGAAUAUACUUCCAAAACUCCUCUGUAUUUACUUCUACUACUCCAAUUUAAUAAAAAUAAUCCCGCAAAAUCUCUCCGUCCCCAGCUACUCCCCCGGAUCCGAUCGCCACCGCCGGAAUAUCCGAUCUCGCCGCCGCCGCGCGCGCGACCUGCUCGACGGAAUUCCCCGCAUGUCGCUGGCGUGCGGGCUGCCGCUGCUGGAGUGCGUCUACUGCCUGGGGUGCGCGCGGUGGGCGUGGAAGCGGUGCGUCCACUCCGGCCACCACGACAGCGCCACCUGGGGCCACGCCGCCGCCGCCGACUUCGCGCCCGUGCCCCGGAUGUGCCGCCUCGUCAUGGCCAACUACGCCCCGCCCGACCUCCUCGCCGCCCCGCCCCUCCUCCUCGACCCGGCCUGCGUCGUGCGCCGCCGCACCUACGCCGACACGGGGGGCCGGGUCACGCCCUACCUCGUCUACCUCGACCACGCGCACGCCGACAUCGUGCUCGCGCUCCGGGGCCUCAACCUCGGCCGCGAGUCCGACUACGCGCUGCUCCUCGACAACCGCCUCGGCAAGCGCCGCUUCGACGGCGGCUACGUCCACAACGGCCUCCUCCGCGCCGCCGGCUGGGUGCUCGACAGGGAGUGCGACCUGCUCCGGGACCUCCUCGACCGGUACCCCACCUACACGCUCACCUUCACGGGCCACUCGCUCGGCGCCGGCGUCGCCGCCAUGCUCACCAUGGUCGUCGUGCUCAACCUCGACAAGCUCGGCAAGGUCGAGAGGGCCCGCACCCGGUGCUACGCCAUGGCCCCCGCCCGCUGUAUGUCGCUCAACCUCGCCGUCAGAUACGCCGACGUCAUCAACUCCGUCGUGCUACAGGAUGAUUUCUUGCCUCGGACGGCUACUCCUUUAGAAGAUAUCUUCAAGUCGAUUCUCUGUCUGCCAUGUCUCCUAUGUUUGAGAUGUUUAAAGGACACUUGCAUACCUGAAGAUGCUAUGUUAAAGGAUCCAAGGAGGCUCUAUGCACCAGGUCGGAUAUAUCACAUUGUGGAGAGGAAAAGUUUCAGGUGCGGAAGAUAUCCACCGGUGGUCAAAACAGCUGUGCCAGUAGAUGGUAGAUUUGAGCAUGUCGUUCUUUCCUGUAACGCCACAAUGGAUCAUGCCAUUGUUUGGAUCGAGCGGGAAGGCCAGAGAGCUCUGGAUCUGAUGCUGGAGAAGGAGCGCGCGAUGGCGGCACCAUCGAACCAGCGGAUGGAGCGGGACGAGACGGCGGUGCAGAGGGAACACGUGGAGGAGCACAAGGCGGCGUUGCGCAGGGCCGCCACACUGUCGGUAUCGGGAAUGGCGUCGAUCUACGGCACGUUCGACGGCGGCCCACGGCCUGAGAGGAGCGAGAGCUUCCCGCCACCAGCGUCGUCGAGGCAGCAGCCACGGGUGAGCUGGAACGACCUGAUAGAGCAGGUGUUUGACAAGGAUGAGGACGGCCAGAUAGUGCUGCGCAGCCCCUCCCCUCCUUCCUCACGCUGA